rnacentral:rRNA from 1 species
AACGAACGCUGGCGGCGUGCCUAACACAUGCAAGUCGAACGGGAAACUUCCCGCUUGCGGGAGGGAGUAAAGUGGCGCACGGGUGAGUAACGCGUGGGUAACCUGCCCUCGAAUCUGGGAUAACUCUGCGAAAGCGGUGCUAAUACCGGAUAUGGUUUCGAAGACUUCGGUUUUCGGGAUUAAAGGUGACCUCUUCAUGAAAGUUGCCGUUCAAGGAUGGGCCCGCGUACCAUUAGCUUGUUGGUAGGGUAAUGGCCUACCAAGGCUACGAUGGUUAGCUGGUCUGAGAGGAUGAUCAGCCACACUGGAACUGAAACACGGUCCAGACUCCUACGGGAGGCAGCAGUGAGGAGUUUUGCGCAAUGGGGGAAACCCUGACCGAGCGACGCCGCGUGUGGGAUUGAAGGCCUUCGGGUCGUAAACCACUGUCAAGAGGGAAGAAUGCCUGGAUGGUGAAUUCAGGAGGGACGUUACCUCUGGAGGAAGCCCCGGCUAACUCCGUGCCAGCAGCCGCGGUAAUACGGAGGGGGCAAGCGUUGUUCGGAUUUACUGGGCGUAAAGGGUGUGUAGGCGGUUGCGUAAGUCUGGUGUGAAAUCUUCACCGCUUAACGGGAAGAGGUCACUGGAAACUGCGUAACUCGAGUAUGGUAGAGGCAAGCGGAAUUCCUGGUGUAGCGGUGGAAUGUGUAGAUAUCAGGAAGAACAUCUGUGGCGAAGGCGGCUUGCUGGGCCAUCACUGACGCUGAGACACGAAAGCGUGGGGAGCGAACGGGAUUAGAUACCCCGGUAGUCCACGCCGUAAACGAUGAGAACUAGGUGUAGUGGG